AUUGAACGCUGUCGGCAGGCCUAACACAUGCAAGUCGAGCGGAUGAAGGGAGCUUGCUCCUGGAUUCAGCGGCGGACGGGUGAGUAAUGCCUAGGAAUCUGCCUGGUAGUGGGGGAUAACGUCCGGAAACGGGCGCUAAUACCGCAUACGUCCUGAGGGAGAAAGUGGGGGAUCUUCGGACCUCACGCUAUCAGAUGAGCCUAGGUCGGAUUAGCUAGUUGGUGGGGUAAAGGCCUACCAAGGCGACGAUCCGUAACUGGUCUGAGAGGAUGAUCAGUCACACUGGAACUGAGACACGGUCCAGACUCCUACGGGAGGCAGCAGUGGGGAAUAUUGGACAAUGGGCGAAAGCCUGAUCCAGCCAUGCCGCGUGUGUGAAGAAGGUCUUCGGAUUGUAAAGCACUUUAAGUCGGGAGGAAGGGCAGUAAGUUAAUACCUUGCUGUUUUGACGUUACCAACAGAAUAAGCACCGGCUAACUUCGUG
rnacentral:rRNA from 1 species